ACCACAGGUCAGCAUACUGUGGUGAAUACGUUCCCGGGCCUUGUACACACCGCCCGUCACACCAUGAGAGUUGAGAAUACCCGAAGUCCAUGUCAAAGUGGCCGAAGGUAGGCUUGAUGAUUGGGGUGAAGUCGUAACAAGGUAAC
rnacentral:rRNA from 1 species